CUUCUAGAUUUGACUCAGUGUAACAUUAUCAUAAGCUAUGUUUAAUGAUGUUUGUUUUAAGCACAUACUCUGUGCUUAUUCUGCCCUGAUGAUGAACUCACUUCAAAUGAAUUCAGUUUUUAUUUGUUUUUAAUUUGUAUGCAGGAUCACAGCUGAAGCGACUCCACUCAACACAUCCUCAAGAUCCUUGUGGUCCAUGGUGCUGAUGGAGAGGAUCCUGUGGAUGUAUCCAGCCUUCUUUAAGGCAAAGAGACCUUCUCCAACUACAACAUUAAGGACGUGGUCGCUCCAGGACCGAGAUGUAGCAGUUGGACAUCUCAAACCAAUCAAGGCUGCGUGUCUCUCCAAACUGAAAUACCAACAGAUACAGUUAGCCCUCAAUUGGAAUCAAUUCUUCUAAACUACUGGAAUAUGGAUGAUAUAAUGGUAAUGAUUCAGAUAGGUUUUGGAAUAUUUUAGCAGAACCAAAUCAUUUGGUUCAUCAGAUGGAUGUUAAUUGAACUCUAUGACUUUUCUGCAAUUUAAGAAACUUAGAAGUAGAAUUUUACUUACAAUGGUGAUGAAGUCAUUGUCCGGACUUUUUCUCACGUAUUUAAUUGCAACCUGCACAUAUA